rnacentral:lncRNA from 1 species
UUGAUGUUUGAGGCUCAACCUUUGUCCAUCCGUGAUCUUAAAAUUGCGCCCAUUUUUAUUGUGCCCCUUCUUGAACUUCAACCUCUGGCCCUUCCUAAAUUCGUCGUCGCGCCCCUUCCUAAAUUGGAGGUCGUGCCGCUUCUUGAACUUGAGGUUUGCCCCUUCCUGAAUUUGACGUUGUGCCCUUUCUUGAAGUAAGAAGUCACAUCCCCAUCCCAUUUCUGGAACUCGAAGGUAUAGCCCUUGCUCCACUUCUUUUGGCAGGAUCCCUUCCUGGGUUUGAGGCACGUCUUGUCCCUCUUCCUCAGCCUGUUUUUCCGGGUACUCUGGUCAGUCUCCAUAGUUUUAUCCCUUUUCACCUGGACCACGUUGAAAUUCCACGUAAGUUUGAAGUAAUGCACAAGAAAG